GGGUCUAGAGACUAAGCUCUAGAGGAUAAAUUAAUAAGAUAGUCGGGCCGCUAUCU
rnacentral:ncRNA from 1 species